rnacentral:rRNA from 1 species
UGCCAGCCGCCGCGGUAAUACAGAGGGUGCAAGCGUUAAUCGGAAUGACUGGGCGUAAAGGGCGUGUAGGUGGAAAGCUAAGUCGAAUGUGAAAUCCCCGGGCUUAACCUGGGAACUGCAUCCGUUACUGGUUAUCUAGAGUAUGAGAGAGGGAAGUGGAAUUUCCGGUGUAGCGGUGAAAUGCGUAGAGAUCGGAAGGAACACCAGUGGCGAAGGCGGCUUCCUGGGCCAAUACUGACGCUGAGGUGCGAAAGCGUGGGGAGCAAACAGGAUUAGAUA